UUGGCGGCCGGCCCGGCCGUAAAACAACAGCCUAGUCGCUAUAAGGUUGACCUCGGAUCAGGUAGGAAUACCCGCUGAACUUAAGCAUAUCAAUAAGCGGAGGAAGAGAAACCAACAGGGAUUGCCCUAGUAACGGCGAGUGAAGCGGCAACAGCUCAAAUUUGAAAUCUGGCCCCCGGCCCGAGUUGUAAUUUGUAGAGGAUGCUUUGGGCGCCGGCACCUUCCGAGUUCCCUGGAAUGGGACGCCAUAGAGGGUGAGAGCCCCGUACGGUGGGAUGUCUAGCCUAUGUAAAGCUCCUUCGACGAGUCGAGUAGUUUGGGAAUGCUGCUCAAAAUGGGAGGUAAAUUUCUUCUAAAGCUAAAUACCGGCCAGAGACCGAUAGCGCACAAGUAGAGUGAUCGAAAGAUGAAAAGCACUUUGAAAAGAGGGUCAAAAGUACGUGAAAUUGUUGAAAGGGAAGCGCUUAUGACCAGACUUGCGCCUAGCGAAUCAUCCGGCGUUCUCGCCGGUGCACUUCGCUCGGCUCAGGCCAGCAUCGGUUUUCUCACGGGCGUUAAAAACAACAGGAAUCGUAGCUCCUCCGGGGGUGUUAUAGCCUGCUGUAGAAUAUCCUUGGGGGGACCGAGGACCGC
rnacentral:rRNA from 1 species